UACGGAGGGGGCUAGCGUUGUUCGGAAUUACUGGGCGUAAAGCGCACGUAGGCGGAUUUGUAAGUCAGGGGUGAAAUCCCGGGGCUCAACCUCGGAACUGCCUUUGAUACUGCAAAUCUCGAGUCCGGAAGAGGUGAGUGGAAUGCCUAGUGUAGAGGUGAAAUUCGUAGAUAUUAGGAAGAACACCAGUGGCGAAGGCGGCUCACUGGUCCGGUACUGACGCUGAGGUGCGAAAGCGUGGGGAGCAAACAGG
rnacentral:rRNA from 1 species